rnacentral:rRNA from 1 species
ACGAACGCUGGCGGCGUGCUUAACACCUGCCAGUCGAACGGUGAAGCGCCUUCCUUUUUGGUGGGUGUGGAUGAGUGGCGAACGGGUGAGUAACACGUGAGUAACCUGCCCCCUUCUUCUGGAUAACCGCAUGAAAGUGUGGCUAAUACGGGAUAUUCUGGGUCUGUCGCAUGAUGGGUCUGGGAAAGAUAUUGUUUCGGUGGGGGAUGGGCUCGCGGCCUAUCAGCUUGUUGGUGGGGUGAUGGCCUACCAAGGCGGUGACGGGUAGCCGGCCUGAGAGGGUGGACGGUCACACUGGGACUGAGACACGGCCCAGACUCCUACGGGAGGCAGCAGUGGGGAAUAUUGCACAAUGGGCGCAAGCCUGAUGCAGCGACGCCGCGUGAGGGAUGGAGGCCUGCGGGUUGUGAACCUCUUUCGCCAGUGAAGCAGGCCUGCCUCGUUUGUGGGUGGGUUGACGGUAGCUGGAGAAGAAGCGCCGGCUAACUACGUG